rnacentral:tRNA from 1 species
GGGAAGUUGGCUCAGUGGUAGAGUACUUGCCUUGCAUGCAUGAGGCCCUGGGUUCGAUUCCUCACCA